CUUAGUCAUAGGUGAGGCAUAUCCAAAUGGGUGGUAUUAGCCAAUGGGAGAAGCAUGGUCAGAUGAAUUUAGUCUCAGGUACCAAAGUUGGCCUUUUAUUUUUAUCAAUAGUCUCAAGCACACUGUGCGUGUGCAUGAGCGUGUGCACAUGGGUAUGCAUGUCCUUGUGCUUAUGAGUGCAGUUGCACACAUGGAGGCCAGAUGUCAAUGUCUUCCUCAAUUGCUCUCUACUUUGUUUCUUCAGGCAGGGCUUAUCAGUGAACCUGCAGAUCACCAGUUGACCAGACAAGCAACCUAAGUAUCCUCCUGUCUACAAAUUCCCAGCAUGAAGAUUAUAGAGACAUACUUCUGUAUCCAGCCUUUUAGAUUAGGUUAAUGGAGGUAAGAAGACCUGCCUGCCCUACAUAUGGGUGGCAGCAUCCUAUGCCCUGGGAUCCUGGACCAAAUAAAGAGGAGAAAGCGAGCCAAGCACCAGCAGCAUCAACAGCCUUCUGAUGAUGUGCAGGAAGUGGCCACCAUCUUACAUUCGGCUGCUGUGACUUCCCACCAUGUAAGAUGAUAGCCUGGAACUGUGAGCCCAGAGAACCCUCCUCCCUUUUGUCAAGUAUUUGGUUCCAGCAUUUUUUUUUUUUUUUGAGUUGAUUGUUUUCUGCCUUUGGGGACGACAGGCGAGAUUUUAGUCAUUUGGCCAUGUAGAAGUGACUGAGAUAGAUCAGCUACCUUCUCAGUCCAUUAAGCUUCUAUAGAAACCAAAAUGGGAAAAGGACAUUUGAUUUUCUUUUCCAUAAUUCUGAACUCAUCAUGCCUAAAACCCAAGGACAAGGACUCGUGGGUCCUUUGGGUGGGAGGCUGGAGGUCAUGCGUGGCAUUUUCUAUUGAGGUAAUGUCUCUAGAGAGGUGAUGGAUCGAAUGCAUCAUUAAACAAUCAAUUAGGUAGUACAAAUGUACCUCUCUCUAAAAUACCCAUUCCAGCCAUGCAGUUUAAAUAUUUCUGGUGUUAUAAAAGGAAUUCUUAUUAUUACUAUGUUUUCUUUGGUAAAGGUUAAAUUUGUGUAGAUGCUGAUAUCUCUGGAGAAAGGAGGAAAACUCAUAGAUCAUCGACAUUGUGCCCUGUAGCUCUAAGAUGUUGUUGGUGGAGUCUUGGUGAUGGACAGACAGCUCUGCCCAUGUCUAGGCUCUCUUAUGACCCUUUUCAAAGUAAAGAACUUUCUAGGGUUAUCUUUACCCAUUUGUCUAUUUUUGAAGAAGAAGAAGAAAAAAAUCCUUCUAAAAGAUGUCCAGUAGUUGCAAUAGUCCUUCACUUUUGAGAAACGAUAAUCUUAUAAUACAGUGCCAAUCAGAAACUCAAAGCAUCUUUAAAACAUAUUUAAAAUGGUUUUCCACGUGAUAAAAAAAUUGGCUCUCUUGUCUUCUCAUGGGGGGUUAUGAUGGUUCCUUCUUUACCUCUUUGAAAACUAACCUUUUAUAUUCUAGUGCUUGUGAAUAAUACCUCUGACUCGUACUUGGCCUCUUCCACUGAAUUGGAAAAUUUGGUCCCAUUCUCUCAGCGAGUAAAUAGCUUUAAAGCCAUUCAUGGUUUUGUCAGGGCAGAGGAGAACAGAAAAGCAUUACAUAUGUUCCAAGUCAAGAGAGGCCAAUCUCUCCCUGUGCUCAAGUGCUUCCUUCCCCCUCCCUGCUUCUAUUAAGAGCUCCCCCACAAUGGGGCUUUAAUCAGCUUCAUUGAUUUAAAGCUAAUUUGCACUUGGCUUCAAGGUUAAGGUCCAUAGCACAAACUGAAGACCUUUAAAUCAGAAGUCACGAUGAAAAGCCUUAGGUAUAUCAUAUUGUCCCUUGUGCCUACGGAUGACAGCUCUUGAUGGCUGCGAAUUAACUAUUGGGGAGAAAAAGGCACAAAGCCAGGUUUUCUCCUGUGUUCAUCCAACCUCCGUGAGCCCAGUUACGCAGCACUUCAGUCGACAGUCCGAAGCGAUGGAGUUGGCCGCAAAUAUUUCGGCAUUGUGAUGUUUGGAGACAUCCGUUUCUGCUUGGGUUCAGUUGGACUUCAACCUAAUUGCUAAACUGAUUCCAUCUGUAAUAACUUUUAACAUUUAUUUCUCCCAAAGGAGGGGUGGGGGAGCUUCGUCUGUGUUUUGCAAUUAAGAAGGUGAUGAAAUAUUCAGUGUAUGUCUCCAGUCUGACUAAAUUCUUUUGUUAACUUUAUCAGAUAAACUAUAAAAUAUUAACCAGGCUCCCUGUUUGGGCAUGUGCAGAUGAUAUAACAUUUACCGAGCAGAUUCUUAAUAUAUAUUUAAUUUUAUAAAUUGAAUUAACUUUUAUGUGGCUAAUUGCCCCCUCUCCUUUCCAAACUGAUGCCUCUAACAUUAGGUGAUAGGCUAUAUGCCGCAAUAGAAAAAUUGCAGCUAAUUACAUAAGCUUAGCUGUGUAUAUAAUAAACGACAUUUCCUCCAAACUUAGCCAUACAAAAAUCAAAUCAAGUAGAAAUAAUGCUGUUUUCUAAGCCAAAUUAUGCUGGAUAGCAAUGCUGAAAUUCUUGGCUUUUCCUUUUUUUUUUUUUUUUCCUGACAGUGCUAUUCUUUUAAAAAAUCCUGGAACAUUUCAAUAGUCAAGCCAGUUUAAAUGGGUAAUCCUAAUCUGUCAGAAACCUUACCUUAAAUGCCCUUAUCUGUAACCUCCCCGACAUCUCCAAAUAUGAUAAUUUAAUGGUUACAUAAUACCUCAAGCCUCCCACCCCCCACAAUGUGUUUUGGACUAAAUCAAGGUCAAGUAUGAAAUCAGGGUAUAAAGCUCAUUUUAAUUAGGAACCAUAAAGAACAUUUUUUUUUUUGAACUGAGGAACAAAAGCCUCCAUUGUUGGUAAGAUGCUAAAAUAUCUAAGUGAACCUGCUCAGUGGAGAACAGAUUACUACAAGGCUGAUCUUCAUUCAGUGUCACCCAGGAGUUUAAGAUCAUCUUAUACAGAGAAACUCUACGGUGUUACCUUCUAGUGCAAUGUGUGCUCCACCAACAGUAUACCACGGGGCCUGAGGAAGGGAGUGUGUUCACAGUUCUCAGAUCCUGGGGUGAUGUUACAGAGGAGGAUACAAUCACUGAGCUGAGAUCUCCAUGUGGAUGAAGCAUGGAAGGACAAGGAAAGGUGGUCAGGUAGAGGUGGCCGAGGGUGCAGGGACAAGUGUGUGCAUUCCAUGUAGAUGCGGAAAUGCUGCGUAUGUAGCUUGGUGGGAGAAGGAAGGAGAUAGAGUUUCAUUCUGUAUCUCAGCGGUGGAAGAAACAGGGUCUGCUGGUACCACAGCCUGAUGGUCUAUGCAGCCAUAGUCUGUUUUUCCAUCUGUCAGGCUCUUGCUCAACUCUGCAUAGGUCUGUUAAUCACUCAAGGAGGGUCUCUCUACUUAUCUCACCUAACCCCUUUCAAGGCUGAAAGCCGUAAGAUAAGCAAGCCAUUGUCCUAAACCUGCAGUCCCCUUGGAUUCCAGGAAGAGCAACACCUAGAGGACUGACCACCCUCCAGAUAAAUCUAUCUGGGAUGCUGGAGCUACACCCUGGAGUAAGCCACGCCCAGCCUGUCCUCUCUUGCAAUGAGGGCUUGCAGAAUGGAUGGCUUUGAAGAACUGGAGACCAGACAACAUGGGCCAGGCUGAAUCACCUCUUAAGGAGGACCGCUAAUUAUGCAUACCUAUUUCCCCACUUUUUCCUUUAUUUAACCAUAAGGCUCAUGCCAGUACUCUGAAAAUGAAGUGGGGGGAGGUAAUUGGACCCUUUUUAUUGACUCCUCUUCCAAACAUGUUGAUUAAAUGUUGCAGACAGGAGGCAAGUGACAGAGAGGGGCAAGCAUGACUGCUAAAUGCCUUGAGGUCUCACGAAAUGACUCAGAGAACCGGAUGGAGGAAAAGAAUGGAAUUUAGUAAUGAGCAAGGCUGGGGGAGGGGCGGGGACGUGACACAAGUCGUUUUGAAUAUGGGGCAGGUUUUUGUAACUCAGCAGCUACAUGGGUACACCAAUGUCAGAGCAUGUGAAGUGAUUUAAUUGCGUCUCACUGUACACUCAAAAAUUGUCCUGGGAGAUGUCCAUUGCUGCCUACCAUGGAUUGUAAACACACAGAAACGUGUCCUCCAGUGAUACAGUGUCAGCUUUUAAGAAUAACAAGUGUCUCACUCAUAAAGGGUAGAUAGAGCAGAGUGAAGCCUCUGGGAGCUUUCACUGAGGUGGAGGAUGCACUGCUAUGGAACACCACACUUGAAAGCACAAAAGCACCGCGUUAUCCCAAAGAAGACGCGCCGGGAUGGGCGGGGACGGAUGAAGGCGUGAGGAGUGUGCUUUAUACCUCUAAGCUUUGGCGAUGCACUUACUUACUUAUGAAGUAACAUCCAAGGUGAUGCUGGCAACCCACUUCAAGCUGCGUGUAGAAGUAGAACUUAACACACACCUUCUGUAGCUAAUAAUGAUGGCUUUUCUCUAUGGAAGGAAGGCAGAUGACGCUAGGAAGAUGCCUGUGCAAGAUGGGAGCAAUGGCAAGUGGGGGGGGACAUGUGCAAUUUCACAUGAAGGGGCAGUGGUUUGAAUGGUGGCUCCCCCAAAGCAAGAGCAUGCGUUUGAGGGACAUAAUAUCGUAACGGUAUGUUCAUCUAUAGCUUUUUUUCCCUUUUAAACAGUAAACAUUAAUUCCUGGGAUAAAGAACAGAGUCUUCUUUAAGGAUGAUUCAGAGAGUUGCUGGGGUGAGACUGGGGAGUAUGCUCAGCUCCUUCAUUCUCCUCAGGUGCGUCUCUGUCAUAGCAGUAGCAGCACUCAGGGCUCUGGGCUCUUGCCACCCGUCUGACAAUCUCCUAUGGACACGCCUGCUCUAGGAAAAACAAGCAAGCUAAUAUAUACGUGGAGGUGCUAGAAUGGAGAAGUUGAACUUCAGCUCUCUCCAUGGGUCAUUCACCAAGUCACCCAUGGACAGAGGCCGUAGCUAUGGGAAGGACACUGGCUUGCAUUUUGGGGGGCAUUCAGCUGGCAGAUGUUACUCUCACUCCUGAGCUCACAGCAGGGACAUAGUCACUGAUUCUCUUUAGCCUCCAUGUCAGCUCUUCUCUGAAUCAUGAUAGUGACAACCUUCUGGUUAGUCUCCUCGUUUUCCACCUAGUGGGAGUGAAAUGGAUUAUGAAAGUGUGUGCUCAGUUCCAGAGAUCAGUCAUGUAUUCACAGGCAUUGCUUAAGUCACCCCACUGCAGUCUCCGGUCACAUGACAAUCAUAUAACUUCCCCUGAUUAUAGCCGCAUAAGAAGCUGACAACCCAAUGCCCUGCGAACAGAAUCUUGCAGUUAAAUUCCCCCAUUUUGUAGAUUUAUGAACAUUUCUCUGGUAGCAUCAAAAAUAAGAAAUCAUUGGAAGACAUCAUUGGAUCCUUCUUUCUAUUGAUCACAUAUUGACAUACAGUCCAACCUGUCUGGGUUAAGCCAAGGAUAGACCAGGAGAUGAAAGAAAAAGGAAUAAAAUAUAGCACUUUAAUUGCGUUUGUGGCCAAGGGACCUACAUUACACUGUAAGCAGCGUGUAACAGUGUACUCCGUGUUCUGUGAUUUACCUUGCUGAUAAUUGCUUUGCACUCCUAAUAAAUUAACCCACAGAAAAUCCA